rnacentral:rRNA from 1 species
CCUACGGGUGGCAGCAGUGGGGAAUAUUGGUCAAUGGGCGCAAGCCUGACCCAGCAACGCCGCGUGAAGUAAGAAGGCUUUCGGGUUGUAAACUUCUUUUGUCAGGGAAGAGUAGAAGACGGUACCUGACGAAUAAGCCACGGCUAACUACGUGCCAGCAGCCGCGGUAAUACGUAGGUGGCACGCGUUUUCCGGAUUUACAGGGUGUAAAGGGCGUGUAGCCGGGUUGACAAGUCAGAUGUGAAAUCCUGCGGCUUAACCGCAGAACUGCAUUUGAAACUGUUGAUCUUGAGUACUGGAGAGGCAGACGGAAUUCCUAGUGUAGCGGUGAAAUGCGUAGAUAUUAGGAGGAACACCAGUGGCGAAGGCGAGCUGCUGGACAGCAACUGACGGUGAGGCGCGAAAGCGUGGGGAGCAAACAGGAUUAGAUACCCUUGUAGUC